rnacentral:misc_RNA from 1 species
CCGAGUUGUACCAACUCCCAAACCCCUGUGAACAUACCGCACGUUGCUUCGGCGGACCGCCCCGGCGCCCCGACCCCCCCGGGGGGAGGCGGCCCGGACCCAGGCGCCCGCCGGGGGACCCAAACUCUUGCAUUCGCUGUUUAGUGGAAUCUCCUUCUGAGUAAAGAAAACAAAUGAAUCA